UACGAAGGGGGCUAGCGUUGCUCGGAAUCACUGGGCGUAAAGCGCACGUAGGCGGGUUGUUAAGUCGGGGGUGAAAUCCUGGAGCUCAACUCCAGAACUGCCUUCGAUACUGGCGACCUUGAGUCCGGGAGAGGUGAGUGGAACUCCGAGUGUAGAGGUGAAAUUCGUAGAUAUCGGGAAGAACACCGGUGGCGAAGGCGGCUCUCUGGACCUGUCCUGACGCUCAGGCGCGAAAGCUAGGGGAGCGAACAGG
rnacentral:rRNA from 1 species